CCCAUGUUGGUAAAAAUAUUUUCUUCACCUUUCAGCAAGCAGACAAGAAACAGAAUAUUUCUGCAUGCUCUGAAGGGAAGAGCAGCCCCCUCUAUUAUAUGCCAUCAGGGCUUUCCAGAAGCAAAUUCCCCAAGGCUCCACCUGGGCUGGCAACAAAGAGUGCCCUGUCUGUAGGCUAAGAAUUGGGCUCUCAUUGGCCAGACCCAGGGCUAAACUGUAGGGACUAUGGUUAACAUUUCAGGGUGAGCAUUAAUACCUUGGAAAUCAGAAAGAAAUGGAGAAAGUGUUAAUAAUGCAGAUUAAACUUAAAAGGGUUAAUUUUUUGGUUUUUAAACAUAGGCUUGGACCCAGACCCUUCUCUUCCUUCUCUCCCCAUCCUUAAGCAGUCCCUAUCCUCAAUGAGCUUACGUUGUAAUCGCACCAAAGGAGUCCCAAGCUUUAAGAGAAACCAAGUAGACAACGGUUUUGGUAAAGGGAGAGAGCAUGGCAGGUAUGAUAGGCAAUCAUGUAAAGCUUGGGGAUGGAAUGUUUUGAUGGAGUGUUUGAGGAACAGUAAGCCAUUAUCACUUGAUUGUUGAGUACAUGGAAGAGAAUCAAGUAUGAGAAAACUGGAAAGAUGAGAAGGGGCCAGGUUGUGAAGAGCCUUGAAUGCUAAACAGAGGGUUUUAUAUUUGAUCUUGGAGGUUCUGGGACACUGAUUUUAAACAGCUCUAACUUCCUGAUUCUACAAGUCUUCUUCCCUGAUUAAUUUCCUCUACCGCUGGUUACUCCUUUAUUGAGUACCUUUACAAAGAAGAAGUAUGGGAAGAGAAUUUGCAUUUAUAUGGCAACUAUUAUAUGUCAGACACUAAGCUAAGUGUUGUUUUUUUUUUUUUACAAUUAUCUCACAAUACCCCUGUGAGAUUCCGGGAUCUUCCCUCAAGAGUAAAGAGAGAGAGUCUCUUUCAGAAAAGUGGCUGCAGGAUGGCUGUAAAGGUCAUAGCUCCAGUUCUAGAUUCUUUCCCUCCUCUACCCCUUUUUAAGAAGGUGAGUAAUUUGAUAUCAAUUAUACAUGUAAAAUUAUGCAAAACACAUUUUCAUGUUAGCCAUUUUAUAAAAGAAAACAUAGCCACUGUAAUGAUUAAAAUAGUUGGAGCCAUAAACUGUAACAUUUAAAAGAGCUGGUUGGCAUAAACUGAGACAGAUAAGAUAUGGUUUUUUUAUAUUAAAAAUAAAGUGGUCACCAGGGAAAAAUUCCCA
rnacentral:lncRNA from 1 species